rnacentral:rRNA from 1 species
GACGUAGGGUGCGAGCGUUGUCCGGAUUUAUUGGGCGUAAAGAGCUCGUAGGCGGCUCGUCGCGUCGACCGUGAAAACCCGCGGCUUAACUGCGGGCUUGCGGUUGAUACGGGCGGGCUAGAGUUCGGUAGGGGAGACUGGAAUUCCUGGUGUAGCGGUGAAAUGCGCAGAUAUCAGGAGGAACACCGGUGGCGAAGGCGGGUCUCUGGACAGUUCCUGACGCUGAGGCACGAAAGCCAGGGGAGCAAACGGG